GACGUGGGGUGCGAGCGUUGUCCGGAUUUAUUGGGCGUAAAGAGCUCGUAGGCGGUGUGUCGCGUCGGCCGUGAAAACCUGGGGCUUAACUCUGGGCGUGCGGUCGAUACGGGCAUCACUGGAGUUCGGCAGGGGAGACUGGAAUUCCUGGUGUAGCGGUGAAAUGCGCAGAUAUCAGGAGGAACACCGGUGGCGAAGGCGGGUCUCUGGGCCGAUACUGACGCUGAGGAGCGAAAGCAUGGGUAGCGAACAGG
rnacentral:rRNA from 1 species